UACGGAGGGUGCGAGCGUUGUUCGGAAUUACUGGGCGUAAAGCGCGUGUAGGCGGCCUUGCAAGCCGGACGUGAAAGCCCUCGGCUUAACCGGGGAAGUGCGUCUGGAACUGCUUGGCUCGAGUACGGGAGAGGGAGGCGGAAUUCCCAGUGUAGAGGUGAAAUUCGUAGAUAUUGGGAGGAACACCGGUGGCGAAAGCGGCCUCCUGGACCGAUACUGACGCUGAGACGCGAAAGCGUGGGGAGCAAAC
rnacentral:rRNA from 1 species